rnacentral:rRNA from 1 species
AUGCAGGAAGAUAUGGAAGCAAACAAAGCCGCCAAAAAGAAAAGAAAGGCACCCUCCAGCGCACCUGUAAGCGCGAAUGAAGGACGUGUUUUGAGGUCUAGGGUAUCAAAAGAUCAAGAUCAUGUUGAUCCUGAGCAUCAGCCUUCCAAAGAGAUUACUCGUGAGCUGGAUGAUGAUGGUAGUCAAAAGAAAGGUGGAAGAAAAAUUACUCGAAAGGCUAACAUAUAUGCAAGGUUGAAUCAACCCAAAAUCCAUAUUCCACUUAAUGGGGAUGGGCAGCAUGUUGGGCCAGAUGCAACUGAAUUUGCCAAUUUCAUUGGUACUUUGGUGAGGAAGCAUAUACCACCUGCAGAGUUAGACUGGCGAGAUGUUGAUGUAGAAAAAAAGUUGUUAGUGUGGGAGACCUUGAAGGCAUUUUAUGAGCUGGACUCAACUGCUUUGAGCUUUGUUAUCAACACUUCACACAUAAAAUGGAAGGAUUGGAAGUCAGAUUUAAAGAGGUACAAGUUUGAUGCUGCGCUCACUGAUGCACAACUUAUGAAAAGACGUGACAGCAGAAUUAGUGAAGCUGACUGGAAGACCCUUAUUACUUAUUGGAGAUCUUCGGCAUUUGAAGCUGUCAAACUUGGGCAUGAUCCUCGGAGAGAUGAAGUUUAUAUCGAAACACAUACAUGCAAGAAAGGGGAAAGGAAAGGGAGUUAUGUGCCGCAGGCAGCAGCAACAAUUAAAGAACUCAUAGAGAGUGCUGAAAAACACCCUGAAUGGAAGGACAAAAGCAUUAAAGAAGGUGAUCUGUUUGCACGUGUAUGUGGACUGAAGGAGCCCAGGGGUCGUGUCCGUGUGUUAGGUCUAGGGCCAACACCUCAAGAUUUGGGCACACCGGGUACACGGGGUAAACUGAGCACAAGAGUUCUAGUUGCAAUGGAAGGGCGCCGAGAAGCUGAAAAUCGCUUUAACAUGCUCCAGGGGCAUGUGCAACAAAUGGAGGAACGAAUGAACCGAAUGGAAUUGAUGUUAGCUUCACAAGGAAGGCAUAAUCUGGAAACUCCUAUCUCGCAGCACGGUUCCAAUUCUCGACAAAACUCCGGAGUUGAAGCUGAGGAAGAUAACGAUGCUGAAGAAGAUGUUGAACAGGAUGAUGAAGAGCCAUUUGUUCAUAGAAGAGUUGUUGCAAAGCCCUCUGCAAGAAGCUCAUCAGCCCAUGAAGAUGAAAGCCUUAUUGGUAUGGAUGUGCUUCUAUAUGCAUGGACUGGUCCUGAAACUCCUGUUGCCAAGGCAACGAUUAUCUCAGUUGACCCAGACACUAUGGUGGGCGGAGAGCCCCUUGGACCAGCAACUUAUGAGGUUCUUGUCAAUGUUGCUAUCAGAAGGGAUGCCACUGUGCCUUAUGAAUAUGAUGGUUUACAAAUUAUCGCUGAUGCUGUCACAAGGACCAUUGCAUGGCCAUCUAGCAAGAUGAAACCCUACAAACCAGGGGCAUCUUCCUCAUCCCGCCGCUAA